AGGGGCGUAGCUCAAUUGGCAGAGCACCGGUCUCCAAAACCGGGGGUUGCAGGUUCGAGUCCUGCCGCCCCUG
rnacentral:tRNA from 5 species